rnacentral:pre_miRNA from 1 species
AGUGCAAUUGCUAGGCCAUGGUAGUAUAUUUUUGUUUGUUCGUUUUAAAAGAAACUGCUAAACUCUUUUCUGAUGUGGCUAUACCAUUUGUAUUCCCACCUGUAGU